UACGUAGGGUGCAAGCGUUAAUCGGAAUUACUGGGCGUAAAGCGUGCGCAGGCGGUGAUGUAAGACAGAUGUGAAAUCCCCGGGCUCAACCUGGGAACUGCAUUUGUGACUGCAUCGCUGGAGUACGGCAGAGGGGGAUGGAAUUCCGCGUGUGGCAGUGAAAUGCGUAGAUAUGCGGAGGAACACCGAUGGCGAAGGCAAUCCCCUGGGCCUGUACUGACGCUCAUGCACGAAAGCGUGGGAGCAAACAGG
rnacentral:rRNA from 1 species